rnacentral:rRNA from 1 species
CCUACGGGAGGCAGCAGUGGGGAAUUUUGGACAAUGGGCGCAAGCCUGAUCCAGCAAUGCCGCGUGCAGGAUGAAGGCCUUCGGGUUGUAAACUGCUUUUGUACGGAACGAAACGGCGAGCUCUAAUAAAGUUUGCUAAUGACGGUACCGUAAGAAUAAGCACCGGCUAACUACGUGCCAGCAGCCGCGGUAAUACGUAGGGUGCAAGCGUUAAUCGGAAUUACUGGGCGUAAAGCGUGCGCAGGCGGUUAUAUAAGACAGAUGUGAAAUCCCCGGGCUCAACCUGGGACCUGCAUUUGUGACUGUAUAGCUAGAGUACGGUAGAGGGGGAUGGAAUUCCGCGUGUAGCAGUGAAAUGCGUAGAUAUGCGGAGGAACACCGAUGGCGAAGGCAAUCCCCCUGGACCUGUACUGACGCUCAUGCACGAAAGCGUGGGGAGCAAACAGGAUUAGAUACCCUGGUAGUCCACGCCCUAAACCGAUGUCAACUGGUUGUUGGGUCUUCACUGACUCAGUAACGAAGCUAACGCGUGAAGUUGACCGCCUGGGGAGUACGGCCGCAAGGUUGAAACUCAAGGAAUUGACGGCUGGAGAGNGCGAGCGACGACGAGGGAGAGG